AACUUUCAGCAGUGGAUGUCUAGGCUCGCACAUCGAUGAAGAACGCUGCGAACUGCGAUACGUAAUGCGAAUUGCAGGAAUUCAGUGAGUCAUCGAAAUUU
rfam:Pythium ultimum DAOM BR144 ctg_1117875580906, whole genome shotgun sequence.